rnacentral:rRNA from 1 species
GACGAACGCUGGCGGCGUGCUUAACACAUGCAAGUCGAACGGAAAGGCCCUGCUUUUGUGGGGUGCUCGAGUGGCGAACGGGUGAGUAACACGUGAGUAACCUGCCCUUGACUUUGGGAUAACUUCAGGAAACUGGGGCUAAUACCGGAUAGGAGCUCCUGCUGCAUGGUGGGGGUUGGAAAGUUUCGGCGGUUGGGGAUGGACUCGCGGCUUAUCAGCUUGUUGGUGGGGUAGUGGCUUACCAAGGCUUUGACGGGUAGCCGGCCUGAGAGGGUGGCCGGCCACAUUGGGACUGAGAUACGGCCCAGACUCCUACGGGAGGCGGCAGUGGGGAAUAUUGCACAAUGGGCGGAAGCCUGAUGCAGCAACGCCGCGUGCGGGAUGACGGCCUUCGGGUUGUAAACCGCUUUCGCCUGUGACGAAGCGUGAGUGACGGUAAUGGGUAAAGAAGCACCGGCUAACUACGUG